rfam:Camelus ferus unplaced genomic scaffold scaffold827, whole genome shotgun sequence.
GGAGGGUACAGCUCAGUGGUAGAGCAUGUGCUUAGCGUGCCCGAGGUCCUGGGUUCAAUCUCCAGUCCCUCUA